GAACGCUGGCGGCGUGCUUAACACCUGCAAGUCGAACGAAGCACUUUAUUUGAUUUCCUUCGGGACUGAUUAUUUUGUGACUGAGUGGCGGACGGGUGAGUAACGCGUGGGUAACCUGCCUUGUACAGGGGGAUAACAGUUGGAAACGGCUGCUAAUACCGCAUAAGCGCACAGCAUCGCAUGAUGCAGUGUGAAAAACUCCGGUGGUAUAAGAUGGACCCGCGUUGGAUUAGCUAGUUGGUGAGGUAACGGCCCACCAAGGCGACGAUCCAUAGCCGACCUGAGAGGGUGACCGGCCACAUUGGGACUGAGACACGGCCCAAACUCCUACGGGAGGCAGCAGUGGGGAAUAUUGCACAAUGGGCGAAAGCCUGAUGCAGCGACGCCGCGUGAGCGAAGAAGUAUUUCGGUAUGUAAAGCUCUAUCAGCAGGGAAGAUAAUGACGGUACCUGACUAAGAAGCACCGGCUAAAUACGUG
rnacentral:rRNA from 1 species